ensembl:lncRNA
CUCGGCUGGAACAACCCCACCCUGUUGGCUCCGUGCCACGUGUCAGGCAUUCUCCCUCCCGGGGUUGUCAGCCGCUGUCUCUCCCCUGAGAGAGGAAGGGGAGGAGGAGGAGGAGGAGGGGGGCCGGUGAAGCUGAAGCAGGCCCCCGUGGUGAUUGUCUUUGCUGGCCCUCCUCCCUCCCUCCCUCCCUCUUCUGGGCUCUUCCCUGGCUCUGCCAGGACUGAUCGAUGUGGUGAUGUGGCGCUCUCCUGGGCUUGGGCUUAAGCCGCGCCAGGUGAGGGACGGCCGCUCAUGGUGAGUUGGGCCGCGCCUCUCAUUCUGUCGCGGGCCCCUCGCUGCUCCUCCCCCACCUGCGGGUGGUGUGGGGAAGGCAGGGGUGCGGCCUCCAGCCUGACCUCUGGUCUCCCGCCCUGCUGCCUUCGGGUGUCAGUCGGGGGGGGGCCUGGGUCCUUUGGGACGCAGCAGGCAUUCUCGCUUUGCCUCCUUGGCGUGUGCCUUGCGAGCGGUCCCUCCCCAAAGUGGGGGAGGCCUCCCUCGCUGCCAUGCUUCGCAUCCCUGCGGGUGCGUGAGCGUGCCUCCCCUGGUCCUCUGUGGUGCCCCUGGAGUACUCCGGGUUGCCUGUCAGAUGCCCGAGGCCGAGCGGUGGUGUCGUUUUCCUCUCCCAGCGGUGAGUCCCCUCGGGUCCCCACUGUGGUGGUGUUCCCACUCCCGUGGGUCCCCGAAGGGGCGAGCGAUGGUGUGUGGGGCACGACGCGCCCUCGGUGAGAAAGCCUUCUCUAGCGAUCUGAGAGGGGGCCUUGGGGUACCUGGACCCCCAGCCGCCGCCCCUCCUGAAGUCUGCAGGGCAGUAGCUGCCGGCGCUACUUGCCACAGCGUGUGGGCAAGAGCCGCCCUCGCGCGAGGGGUGCGCUGGCCCCCGCGGUGGGGGCCAAGCGCUGCUCUUUUGCCUAAUGCGGCCUGUGCCUCCCCCCUCCGAGUUGGGGGAGGGUCACGCCGGGCCGGGCCGGGUUUUGGCGUCCAGCGCCGGGCUGUGUGCUGCGUGGGCGCGUGGUGCCCCUCCCCUUGGAAGGGGAAGUGGAGGAGGGGGAUGCGCCCCGUCCCCCGGCGGCCUCUGCCCCUGCCUCCCCCGCUGCGAGCCGCCCGUCGGUUCUUCCCGCACUCGCCUGGGGUCGCAGCUGGUGGUGUGGAGGUGGUGAGCGAGCAUGGUUCGGGCCGCCUCGCUCAGGAGCGUUUCCCCCAGGCGUCAGGCCCUGGAGGGUGGACUAGGUGAAGGACGGAUGAGAUGAGGGUGGAAAGAUGGACGGAUGGGUGAGAUGAGGCGGACGAACCCCCCCCACGUGGCAGGGGGGGGGAAGCCUUUGCACAUGGGGCCCUGGUUGGUGGGGCCGGGUCGUGGAGUGCUCUGGGGCGACUGAGGCCGCCUGGUGUCCCAGGUGUCAUGGGACUGCCCUCGUGUGUGUGGUGGUGUGACCCCGUGCUGGUUUGCCUGGCGUGCCUGGGUCCUUUCUCCUCUCCCUGGGCAGGCACCCGCGUCCCUGCCCCACAGCCCUUGCCCCGUGUGCAUUGCCGCCCUUCCCCGGUGCUGCCGGCCCUCCCCCUGCCCCGAACAGGUGACCGCCCUGCCUUGCCUGUGCCAUGUCUCUCUCCCUCCCGCCCCCGCGUCAACCGGGGACCUGAAAUGGCCUCACCUCGUGUGGGUGUCACCCCCUGGCCGCCGUGGCCGGGCGGGUGUCCCUGGGUGAUGUGCUUCUCGGGUGUCCCCCUGUGCGCGGGGGGGGGGGAAGAGGGUUGGGCACGGCGGGUGCGUGUGGGGUGUGGGGGUGGUCGUCGGUAGGUGCCUUGGGAGACUUGUUUCCACGGGGCCGGCUGUGGCUCAUCGGUGUCGUCGGUGGCGGUCGUGGGGCCCCGCGAGGGGGGCCCCCAGGGCUGAGGGGAGGCCAGUCGGCGUCCUGGGUGUUGCGGCGGGACCGCCGUUGUGCUGGAGGCCUCUGGCGGUGAGACCCCGUGUGGUGCCCUGGCAGCCGACUCGCAUCCGGUUUUUGGGGAUGGUCCCCGUGCCCCCCCCACCUCGUUGGAGGCCUGCGGCCGCCCCCUCCGCCACCGUCCCUUUGUGGCAUCUCUCUCGAUGCCGGCCGCUCCCACGUUCGCCCUCCUCGCUCCCGCUCGUCUGUCUGACCUCCCGUCUGUCUGGUCCCCAUCUGCCGACCCCGGACCGGCGUCCUGGUGCGUCUCGCUUUCCUGGGCCCGCUGCGGCCCCGCUCCGUGCCCGC